rnacentral:rRNA from 1 species
UACGAAGGGGGCUAGCGUUGUUCGGAAUCACUGGGCGUAAAGCGCACGUAGGCGGAUUUUUAAGUCAGGGGUGAAAUCCCGAGGCUCAACCUCGGAACUGCCUUUGAUACUGGGGAUCUCGAGUCCGGGAGAGGUGAGUGGAACUGCGAGUGUAGAGGUGAAAUUCGUAGGUAUUCGCAAGAACACCAGUGGCGAAGGCGGCUCACUGGCCCGGUACUGACGCUGAGGUGCGAAAGCGUGGGGAGCAAACAGG